rnacentral:rRNA from 1 species
GAGUUUGAUCAUGGCUCAGAUUGAACGCUGGCGGCAGGCUUAACACAUGCAAGUCGAACGGUAGCAGGAGAAAGCUUGCUUUCUUGCUGACGAGUGGCGGACGGGUGAGUAAUGCUUGGGAAUCUGGCUUAUGGAGGGGGAUAACUACGGGAAACUGUAGCUAAUACCGCGUAAUAUCUUCGGAUUAAAGAAUGGGACGAUUUUGCCAUUCGCCAUAAGAUGAGCCCAAGUGGGAUUAGGUAGUUGGUGGGGUAAAGGCCUACCAAGCCGACGAUCUCUAGCUGGUCUGAGAGGAUGACCAGCCACACUGGAACUGAGACACGGUCCAGACUCCUACGGGAGGCAGCAGUGGGGAAUAUUGCGCAAUGGGGGCAACCCUGACGCAGCCAUGCCGCGUGAAUGAAGAAGGCCUUCGGGUUGUAAAGUUCUUUCGGUGGUGAGGAAGGCUUAAGUGUUAAUAGCACUUAGGAUUGAC